GCUCACGGCUCCAGACUGAGGUGCCGCGUGCAGCGUCUCUGCACACGGCCCACUGCCGCCAUCUUGAAUUGACGAGCCGGGCGCAGUACUUCUGUCCACAAGACGCCGCCGAGCUGAGUUGUCCGGCGCAGCCGUUUUGCAUGAGGAGCUCUGGUCUGAGGCCUCUGCCUGCUGCAACCUGUGAGCAAGUGAAACGAGAUGAAGCACAAGGGAAAAAUAAAAGGUUGCGCUGCUGAGGCUCCCGACCCAUGUUUUCUUACUGGGCAACUUCAGGUAAUUGAACGCUUUGCUUAUUUUGAAUAAAUCAGCUGAUGCCACGGACUCCAUCCUUGGGAAAAGACAUGAGAAGAGCAAGCAAUGCUGCUGGAAGGACAGUGCUUUGUAGCAGCCAAGUGCAGAACUUCUGGUUGACCUUAACUUAUUAAAAGCUGAAUUUGGCUGACUAAACCUGUAUCAUGAUAA